GGCGAACGCUGGCGGCGUGCUUAACACAUGCAAGUCGAACGGAAAGGCCCUGCUUUUGUGGGGUGCUCGAGUGGCGAACGGGUGAGUAACACGUGAGUAACCUGCCCUUGACUUUGGGAUAACUUCAGGAAAAUGGGGCUAAUACCGGAUAGGAGCUCCUGCUGCAUGGUGGGGGUUGGAGAGUUUCGGCGGUUGGGGAUGGACUCGCGGCUUAUCAGCUUGUUGGUGGGGUAGGGGCUUACCAAGGCUUUGACGGGUAGCCGGCCUGAGAGGGUGACCGGCCACAUUGGGACUGAGAUACGGACCAGACUCCUACGGGAGGCAGCAGUGGGGAAUAUUGCACAAUGGGGGGAAGCCUGAGGUAGCAACGCCGCGUGCGGGAUGACGGGCUUCGGGUUGUAAACCGAUUUCGAAUGUGACGAAGCGUGAGUGACGGUAAUGGGUAAAGAAGCACCGGCUAACUACGUG
rnacentral:rRNA from 1 species